rnacentral:lncRNA from 1 species
GCGAGUGUAGUAUCAUCAAGUAGACUUAGGCCAAGAACAUCACGCCAACAGAUAUAUGAUAUGGUUCAGCGACUGUCUGGGUGAAGUCCUUGACCGCCGAUUAGCUAUCUCUACGUAAUCGCAUACCACCCUGGAUGCGGGACUACUUCCAACCUAUGAUACUGAAGGAAACAGCAUUAAGAAGAAGCCCCCGAUGUCGAGUAUAUGCAGGAGGCAGUAAUCCAUCGGCCAGCGCACAGCCAACUAGGUACCUAUACAUGCAUGUAGUUAAAAAUGUACACAUGGCAGAUUCAAAUAAUUAAUUCAUAGUUUCAUGCUCGAGGACGGCAAAAGACGAUGUGGUGGUGUCGGAGAAAAGACGUAUCCAUAACAAUGUUGGAGAGAACAUGAAAAUCCGAAACUGUCCUUGAAAAAGCCUAAUAUGGGAAUGCGUCACCCCACCAGACUGCCCAAUUUUACAUCCGUUACAAUGUAUUUAUUAUUACAUACAGACUUACAGCCCGUGCUGUGGACACUGAGCAUCUUCUACCCCGUGCUCUGCAGUUUAUCAAUCACUCCCCUCGCAUGAUUUGUAUCUAACUUAUCAUACUUAUCUGUGCUAUAAGUCCUGAUAGCCCUCGAAGUAUUGAAUGGCAGCCUAGCGGCUAAUACAAGAAAAAUACUACUGUUACCCAUCUUCUUCAGCGAAAUCGCAACCCUACCAGAUUCCAUGAUGAAUCAUAGCAACAUGUGCGACGGCCAAUCAUUUCAUCCCUCAACCACCACAAAGCGUCCAAUCGUCAAAACGACACCCAGAUUUCCCAAGUGUGGAUUUCUCCUGGUGCCAGAUACCGGUCGCACGAAGAAAAUCGAUUUAAUAUGACUUAUCGUGACUACAAGCACCUCAUUAUGAGCAACCUUUUCAGCCGAACUUGAAAACUACUCAUAACUAGUACAUGAUCCUUAACAGGUAACAUUUUCCAAAGUACGUAUCGAUACUCGGAGUGAGGCGCCUCCCAAGAGUAAGAUUUUUCUCUUUUCUUCUUCCUUUUUUUUAAGUCCGAAACCAGUGGGCCAGCCAGGUGGCCACUUGUUCCGUGUUGACAUGCGUAAAUAAAUAGCGGAUUCCUGUGCGGAGAAAAUUUACCUCAAAUCUUGCCUCCGUGGAGUCCGUCACGAAAGUU